AGAGUUGAUCAUGGCUCAGAACGAACGCUGGCGGCGCGUUUAAGCAUGCAAGUCGAGCGGCAAGGGCCUUCGGGCCCCUAGAGCGGCGGACGGGUGAGUAACACGUGGACAAUCUGCCCCCCGGCCCGGGAUAGCCCAGGGAAACCUGGAUUAAUACCGGAUGAGACGGGACCCGCGAUGGCGGGACCCGGGAAAGGCGCUGCGGCGCCGCCGGGGGAUGAGUCUGCGUCCCAUUAGCUAGACGGCGGGGUAACGGCCCACCGUGGCGACGAUGGGUAGCCGGCCUGAGAGGGUGGACGGCCACAUUGGAACUGAGACACGGUCCAGACUCCUACGGGAGGCAGCAGCUAAGAAUCUUCCGCAAUGGGCGAAAGCCUGACGGAAGCGACGCCGCGUGAACGAAGAAGGCCGUGAGGUUGUAAAGUUCUUUUCGGGAGGGGGAACAACCGUGGCAGGGAAUGGCCGCGGGAUGACGUGAAUCCCGGAAUAAGCCCCGGCUAACUACGUGCCAGCCGCGGC
rnacentral:rRNA from 1 species